rnacentral:rRNA from 1 species
GAUGAACGCUGGCGGCGUGCCUAAUACAUGCAAGUCGAGCGAACAGACGAGGAGCUUGCUCCUCUGACGUUAGCGGCGGACGGGUGAGUAACACGUGGAUAACCUACCUAUAAGACUGGGAUAACUUCGGGAAACCGGAGCUAAUACCGGAUAAUAUAUUGAACCGCAUGGUUCAAUAGUGAAAGACGGUUUUGCUGUCACUUAUAGAUGGAUCCGCGCCGCAUUAGCUAGUUGGUAAGGUAACGGCUUACCAAGGCAACGAUGCGUAGCCGACCUGAGAGGGUGAUCGGCCACACGGGAACUGGGACGCGGUCCAGACUCCUACGGGAGGCAGCAGUAGGGAAUCUUCCGCAAUGGGCGAAAGCCUGACGGAGCAACGCCGCGUGAGUGAUGAAGGUCUUCGGAUCGUAAAACUCUGUUAUUAGGGAAGAACAAAUGUGUAAGUAACUAUGCACGUCUUGACGGUACCUAAUCAGAAAGCCACGGCUAACUACGUG